rnacentral:rRNA from 1 species
CUGCGGUGAAUACGUUCCCGGGCCUUGUACACACCGCCCGUCAAGCCAUGGAAGCUGGGGGUACCUGAAGUACGUAACCGCAAGGAGCGUCCUAGGGUAAAACCGGUAACUGGGGCGU